CCCGCUGAACUUAAGCAUAUCAUUAAGCGGAGGAAAAGAAACUAACAAGGAUGCCCUCAGUAACGGCGAGUGAAGUGGGCAAAGCUCAAGCCUAAAAUCGGGUCUCCAAGCGGGGAUUCGAAUUGUAGUCUAGAGACGCGUAAUCAGUGGCAGCCCGGGUAUAAAUCUUUUGGAACAAGGUAUCAUAGAGGGUGAGAAUCCCGUCUUUGACCCGGAGUCUGCUGCGUACGAUGCGUGUUCAACGAGUCGAGUUGCUUGGGAUUGCAGCUCUAAAUGGGUGGUAAAUUUCAUCUAAAGCUAAAUAUCGACGAGAGACCGAUAGCGAACAAGUACCGUGAGGGAAAGAUGAAAAGAACUUUGAAAAGAGAGUAAAAUAGUACUUGAAAUUGUUAAGAGGGAAGCACUGGAAACCAGUCGUGCCUUGCUCGAUAUUUACCAUCGACGGGCGAAGGGUGGUUAGCUAGGAGCGCAAGCCCUAGCUGGCUAUCGGACGUUUAGCCGGUGGGUCCUGUCGAGCUAGGUGGGUCAGAAUCAGUUCGGUUCGCGGGAGAAAGCUGUUGGGAAGAUAGGCUUGCGGGGGUAACCCCAAGGGCUGUUAUAGCCUGGCAGUGCUACCGUGGGUUGGACUGAGGACUGAGAAUACGCGCCACUAGGUUUCGAUUCCUCUGUCCUGGUGUACCAUCUGCGUUGGACAACAAAGUUGUGCGCGUGGAGAAGUGCGUUACUGGCGGGGGUGAAUCAGAUGCAGUAUUCGAGAUUCUGACGAAAUGGUUUUCAUCGACCCGUCUUGAAACACGG
rnacentral:rRNA from 1 species